rnacentral:rRNA from 1 species
GAUGAACGCUGGCGGCGUGCCUAAUACAUGCAAGUCGAGCGAACAGACGAGGAGCUUGCUCCUCUGACGUUAGCGGCGGACGGGUGAGUAACACGUGGAUAACCUACCUAUAAGACUGGGAUAACUUCGGGAAACCGGAGCUAAUACCGGAUAAUAUAUUGAACCGCAUGGUUCAAUAGUGAAAGACGGUUUUGCUGUCACUUAUAGAUGGAUCCGCGCCGCAUUAGCUAGUUGGUAAGGUAACGGCUUACCAAGGCAACGAUGCGUAGCCGACCUGAGGGGGUGAUCGGCCACACUGGAACUGAGACACGGUCCAGACUCCUACGGGAGGCAGCAGUAGGGAAUCUUCCGCAAUGGGCGAAAGCCUGACGGAGCAACGCCGCGUGAGUGAUGAAGGUCUUCGGAUCGUAAAACUCUGUUAUUAGGGAAGAACAAAUGUGUAAGUAACUAUGCACGUCUUGACGGUACCUAAUCAGAAAGCCACGGCUAACUACGUG